ACUUCCUGAGAAGGCGACGUCGAGGAUCUCCAGAGCCGGCAUAGAGUGCGCCGCCCGUGCCGCUCCUCCGCGCGAGCAGCUUCUCGCUGGCGACCACACGCCACGCGGUGAGCCGAGGCUGUAGACAGAUCUGAGGGAAGGGAAGCACAGGGACGGGAGGAGGCGGAGCUCGGCAGCUAUCCAUUUUACUCACUGGAAGAUCGACGUGCACCACCAAUACUCCUGCCUUGCUACUGGUUAAGGCGUUGCUGGGCGGCUUCAAGAAGGAUGCAAGGAACUGAUAUGCUGAGGCAUUGAUACAUUGUAAGUUCAAAGAUUAGC